AGCUGUCAAAUUCGGGCGCACUUACUAUAAAAAUAUACAGUUUGCAGUCAAAUAAAAAAAAACAGGAUUUUUGUUUAUUGUGGAAACAAGUAGGAUUAAUUUAUAUAAACAUAACGAGACUUAUUUUUUUUUUUUAAAAUAAAAAUCAUUUAAUUCUUUUUUUUUUUCUUUUUUUUUUUUUAUCACUCAGUCAAUUGUUCAGCUUUUCAUUCGUAUAUAUAUUUAUUUGCACACCUUUAGGAAUUUAACAUUAUAAAACAACUACAAGAUAACAAUUCGUCAAAUGCGACUAACCAAUCUUUCAUAAACACGUAAUUGCAAUUUCGAACAAUUACAUAUGUGUCCUUGGUCAUAUAUAUAUAUAUAUAUAUAUAUAUACGUAUGUGUAUAUAUAUUUUUGAAGAACUGACAACUAUAACCUUUUUUUUUUUUUUUUAUACAUAUAAUAAUAUAAUAAAAGAUAACACACACUAAAAAAAAUGUAUACAUAUAUAUAUAUACAUGUAUGUAUGUAUUUUUUUUUUAACACAGCUGUAGUGACAAUAUAAUUAAAAAUAUAAAUUCAAAAGAAUUUGGAUAUUCCUCUCAUAUCCAUAAUAGUUGUUUGGAUAAAAGUGAUAACGUAAGUACACUGUGUGAUCAAAAAAAAGAAUCUGAUGAUUAUUUUAAAUAUAUUAAUAAUGAAGAGUAUAGAAAAAUAUUUGGUUAUGCAAAUAGUCCUAGAAAAAGCAAUAACAACACUAACAAUAUAAUGACAUUUAUCAAACAAGAAGUAAAAGAUAUUAACAUUAAUAAAGUGAAUGAACAGUGCCGCAUGUCGACAAAUGUAAAAAACGAAGCAAAUGUAACGAAGGAAGCAAAUGUAACGAAGGAAGCAAAUGUAACGAAGGAAGCAAAUGUAACGAAGGAAGCAAAUAUAACGAAGGAAGCAAAUGUAAUAAACGAGGCAAAUGUAAUAAACGAAAAUAAAACAACAAGCAUAACCAACACGACUAACGUAAAAAAAGACAACUUUGACGUUAAAAUAAAAAAAGAAGUUGAAGAAACCAACAAUUUAUUUACUGAUUUAGAUAGUCCUAUACAUGAAACACAGAUUGAAAAUAAAAUUGAAACUUAUGACGAAGAGGAAAAACAUAAUGAUACAUCAAAUUUAGAAAUACCCGAAACUGAUUUAAAAGAUUCAAGCGAACAUUAUGAAGCCAGUAAUAAUUUGAAUAAAGAAAAACCAUCAAUUGGAAAUGGCUCAAAAAAAACACAGUCGAACAAAGAAACGGAGCUGUAUUACGAAAAUGGAUACAUUGUUACAGUCGAUAAAGAAGUUUAUAAAAGUAAAUUUGAUUUGACACAAAAUGUCAGUAAAUGUACAGAAAAUAAACAGAUUAAAACACCUUCGAAAAACCAGAAGAAAAGGCCACCCCAACAAACGUUAUUAACGUAAGUUUAAACCAAAAUUAACAUUUAACU
rnacentral:lncRNA from 1 species